GAUGAACGCUGGCGGCGUGCCUAAUACAUGCAAGUCGAGCGAACAGACGAGGAUCUUGCUCCUCUGACGUUAGCGGCGGACGGGUGAGUAACACGUGUAUAACCCACCUAUAAGACUGGGAUAACUUCGGGAAAACGGAGCUAAUACCGGAUAAUAUAUUGAACCGUAUGGUUCAAUAGUGAAAGACGGUUUUGCGGUCAGUUAUAGAUGGAUCCGCGCUGCAUUAGCUAGUUGGUAAGGUAACGGAUUACCAAGGCAACGAUGCGUAGCCGAACUGAGAGGGUGAUCGGCCACGCUGGAACUGAGACACGGUCCAGACUCCUACGGGAGGCAGCAGUGGGGAAUCUUCCGCAAUGGGCGAAAGCCUGACGGAGCAACGCCGCGCGAGUGAUGGAGGUCUUCGGCUCGUAAAACUAUGUUAUUAGUGAAGAACAAAUGUGUAAGUAACUAUGCCGGUGUUGACGGUACCUAAUCAAAAAGCCCCGGCUAACUCCGUG
rnacentral:rRNA from 1 species